rnacentral:rRNA from 1 species
GAUUCCUGGCUCAGGAUGAACGCUAGCUACAGGCUUAACACAUGCAAGUCGAGGGGCAGCAUGGUCUUAGCUUGCUAAGGCUGAUGGCGACCGGCGCACGGGUGAGUAACACGUAUCCAACCUGCCGUCUACUCUUGGCCAGCCUUCUGAAAGGAAGAUUAAUCCAGGAUGGGAUCAUGAGUUCACAUGUCCGCAUGAUUAAAGGUAUUUUCCGGUAGACGAUGGGGA